rnacentral:rRNA from 1 species
UACGGAGGGUGCAAGCGUUAUCCGGAUUCACUGGGCGUAAAGGGUGCGUAGGCGGGUCUUUAAGUCAGGGGUGAAAUCCUGGAGCUCAACUCCAGAACUGCCCUUGAUACUGAAGAUCUUGAGUUCGGGAGAGGUGAGUGGAACUGCGAGUGUAGAGGUGAAAUUCGUAGAUAUUCGCAAGAACACCAGUGGCGAAGGCGGCUCACUGGCCCGAUACUGACGCUGAGGUACGAAAGCGUGGGGAGCAAACAGG